rnacentral:rRNA from 1 species
UACGGAGGAUCCAAGCGUUAUACGGAAUCAUUGGGUUUAAAGGGUCCGUAGGCGGUUUGGUAAGUCAGUGGUGAAAGCCCAUCGCUCAACGGUGGAACGGCCAUUGAUACUGCCAGACUUGAAUUAUUAGGAAGUAACUAGAAUAUGUAGUGUAGCGGUGAAAUACUUAGAGAUUACAUGGAAUACCAAUUGCGAAGGCAGGUUACUACUAAUGGAUUGACGCUGAUGGACGAAAGCGUGGGUAGCGAACAGG